GACGAACGCUGGCGGCGUGCCUAAUACAUGCAAGUAGAACGCAGGUGCGAACGGGGGAGUAACGCGUAGGUAACUGCGUCAAAGCGGGGGACAACUAGUGGAAACGAUAGCAAAUACCGGCUACUGCGAGAUGCACCUGCGGUGGAUUAGGUAGUUGGUGAGGUAAAGGCUCACCAAGGCGACGAUACAGAGCCGACCUGAGAGGGUGGACGGCCCACCUGGGGCUGAGAAAAGGGCCCGGCUUCUUCGGGAGGCCGCAGUAGGGAAUCUUCGGGAAUGGGCGGAAGUCUGACCGAGCAACGCCGCGUGAGUGAAGAAGGUUUUCGGGUCGUAAAGCUCUGUUUUUAGGGAAGCGGUAACUAACCAGAAAGGGACGGCUAACUACGUGCCAGCCGCCGCGGUAAUAC
rnacentral:rRNA from 1 species